rfam:Triticum aestivum genome assembly, contig: Triticum_aestivum_CS42_TGACv1_scaffold_159742_2DL
AUAGUACUCCCUCCGUUCGGAAUUACUUGUCAUAAAAAUGGAUAAAAAUGGAUGUAUCUACAACUAAAAUACAUCUAGAUACAUUCAUUUCUUGGAUGAGUAAUUCCUAACGGAGGGAGUACAUG